rnacentral:tRNA from 1 species
GCCCCCGUAGUUUAAUGGAUAGAAUAUAAGCUUGCGGAGUUUAUGAUCGAGGUUCGAUUCCUCGCGGGGGCACAA